rnacentral:rRNA from 1 species
CAGCAGCCGCGGUAAUACGAGGGGCGCAAGCGUUAUUCGGAUUGAUUGGGUGUAAAGGGUGUGCAGACGGCUUAUUAAGUCACUUGUUAAAUUCUUCGGCCUAACUGAAGGUCUGCAAGUGAUACUGAUGAGCUAGAGGGUGGAAGAGAGAAGUGGGAUUCUCGGAGUAGCGGUAAAAUGCGUAGAUCUCGAGAGGAGCACCAAUGGCGAAGGCAGUUUCUUGGUCCAUUCCUGACGUUCAUACACGAAAGCGUGGGGAGCAAACAGGAUUAGAUACCCGGGUAGUCCCUGUCUCUUAUAC